AUGUGUGAUCACGUUGUCGACGCCACCACCACAUACGCUCUCUGGCACAAGAUCAAAGACUUCUUCCUCGCCAAUCGCGACGCCCGCUUCAUGAUCCUCAACCGCCAAUACCGCAACCUUAAGCAGGGUGACCUCUCGGUGUCCGAGUACGCCCAUCGUCUCAAACUCCUCACCGACGCUCUCGCUGACAUAGAUCAUGCCGUUUCCGAGGUGGAUCUCACCACCCAGUUCCUUCAUGGCCUUGACAAGCGGCUCGACACCAUCCGCGUCGUCCUCGGUGACCAGGGCCUUCCCUUCGACACCGUCCUCUCCCGCGUCGUCCUCGCGGAGGAGUCGUAGGCGCAGCGCGCGGCUGCGGAAGGCGCAUCCGCGUUCGCCAUGGCGGGCGGCAGCUCUUCGGGCGGU
rnacentral:rRNA from 1 species